UUGCAACAUGACAACAAAAGCAAAGUAAUUAUUUAGUAUUGCCGGUUUGAGAGAAGCGUUUCUAAAGAUGAAGUUGGUUAGAUUUCUUAUGAAACUAAGUCACGAAACGGUGACAAUCGAAUUAAAAAAUGGAACUCAAAUUCAUGGUACAAUUACAGGAGUAGAUGUAGCGAUGAACACUCAUUUAAAGUCUGUUAAAAUGACCAUAAAAAACAGGGACCCAGUUCAAUUGGAAUCCUUAAGUAUUCGCGGUAACAACAUACGAUACUUCAUACUACCAGACAGCUUACCGUUAGAAACACUGCUCAUUGAUGAUACACCUAAAUCAAAAACAAAGAAAAAAGACAGCAGUCGUGGAGGUAAUCGCGGCAGAGGACGUGGAGCACGCGGGCGUGGUGGACCUCGAGGUCGGGGUCGUGGACGGGCAGUUGGUAGACGUUAAGAUUUUAAAAUACUGAAAUUAAAUAAAACUUCAAGGAUAAAACAUGGAAAUUUAUAUUUUUUAUUCGCAAUGUAUAUAUACCCAGCAGUACAUUUGCAUACAUUGAUGUUGAAUAUUAUUUUAAUACCAAGCAUAAAACAGUCUGUACAUAGUGAAUACUAUCAAUAUAAUAAAUAUUAGAAUGCUUUCAUCACUAAUAUUUCAUCUUCUAACACAGCAACUAUUGUUUGGUCAAUAUUGGGAUUGUCCAAUGCAUCUUCAAGUCCACGAAUUUUAUUUCCUAAAUAUAGCAAAUCGUGUUCAACGCUAUCAACCUUAAACAUUUAUUUAAGUUAAGUGACAUGUAAAAGUUGAUAUAUUUAUACAUACUUGAUCUUUUAAGCUGCAAUUUCGUGGGUAUUGGAAAGGUUGGUGACGAAAUACCAUAUUUAAAAUUCCGUUUUAGCUCCAAAAUAAGUAAUUCGAAUAAGAAAUUCAAUGUAUUAUAUAUAAAGCUGGUAUAAUAAAAUUAUUUAUUUUUUUCUUAA